UAUUAUAUAAUAAUACUGUAUUAUAUACUUAGACUUGUUAGUGUAUAAAAGUAACAUACUGUAAUAUUCUGUGGGUUCUGGUGGGUGGAGGAUUAGUGGUGCCACUGAACUGUUCUGUGAUGGAGCAUCAGUGAGGAUGCAGACCCUGGUAUCUGGCUGAUGGUUCACUGGAAUGCUGACUGGCUGCUGACUGACUUGCUGCUGGUUGACUGGGCAGUGUCACCUGUCCCUGUCUCUCCUCUCUAGCCAUGUCCUUUUUCUUCACUCUCACUUUCCCUUCUCUGAGUGUCCUCGUUCUUUUUUCCUCAACCUUUGAAACUGAUAGAGGUCUAGGGGUGCAUCGUGGAGCAGGGCCCUCCUCUUUUUGACCACAGGACGGUGUACAAAGAUUGUGGGAAUAGCAUCUGCUGGGAAGAUAUACAUUCGCACACCUUUCUCUGACUGAGUGGAGCAUCCCCAUGCAGCACAGUAAACCACGGUGGAGACUUUGCAAGGACAACAUGAAAGAAAGGACACAUACAAAAUGCUUGUCAUGCUAUUAAAUUUAUUAGAAAUGUA